UUCAUCUUGUCGGAGUGCCUUUUGGCUGAGACCGUUAAUUCGGGAUCCGUUGAACCUGUCAGGUUAGAACCUGCGAAGGAAACAAGCGAAAUUCAGAG
rfam:Vibrio sp. JCM 19231 DNA, contig00127.